rnacentral:lncRNA from 1 species
UCAUCAUAUAGACACAUGAGUGCGCUCCCCUGAACACAGCCGGGCUAACCUGAACCUCAUUGGUGCUAGAAUAAAUGAGUUGCUGAGGACACAUUCGUCUAUCCGUGUGACAGUUGUAAAGACAUAUUUCUUCCUCACCUACGAGGACUGUAGUACAGAUGGAAUUGAUGGUUUGAGAAAUAGAGGAAAAAUGUUCAGUCUGAAUGGAGCCAUGUAUCUAGAACCAAUGUCCUGAGCUGGGAAUGGCUCUCAGACUCAACGUUUCUUGAGUGUGUUCCAGUGUUGGCAGAUUGAAAGGCAGUGACCUACAGAUGCAAGAAAAUCCCACAUGUCACAAUAAAGAGACCGGAAAAUAUUUCCAAGUGCACAGAUAGACUGGGGGAAAGUCCUUCAGAUCAGGGAUGCAGGGUUUAACAUAGAAUACACAUGGAAAUCUGAAAGCUAAAAUGAAGGUACUAGGAUCACAAGAAGCUAAGGGGUAUGGUUCAUCAGAGAACCUUCCUUUGCAUCGGAUGACAGUCAACAGAUGCACUCUCGAACGGUCAAAGUGCAGAACACACUUAACGGCGGAGUGCUCAGCCCUAACUAACGUCUGCAUUAGAUCUCUUCACUCCGAGACUCUGAGAACACCACAGAGGAGCCGCCAUCAUGGUUUGAAGAGACAGAGACAGUGGAGGGCUUGUGUGAGAGAGUGUCUUCUGGGCAUGAAAGGGCUCUUACAUCUGAGCUUUCAAGAUAG